GUGAGGCAGUGCGAGGCGCGCGGGGCACGGAGGGCGGUGGCGGCGGGCUCCUGCGAGAAGCAAGCGGAACUUCCUGAGCUCGGUGUCGACGGCGAUUCGGUGGGCUUGUGCGUUUGUUUUGUCAGCGUGCUUAGGUGUCACAGCUGGGUGACCCUCCGAAGGAAGGUUUUGCCGCUGGCGCGUCUGGUGUAUCGCGGCCUUGGGGCCGCGGAUCCCUGGGGCUUGCCGCUGCCUCUGGGGUUCGCGCGGCCCUGGCGUCGGGGCUGCCUCAGCGCUGGCUGAAGGCCGGCCCGAAGCACCCUUAAUUGUGGCCGCGCGCUUCCCUGCUGCUCCUGCUGUUCUCCGCGUCGCGGUGGUGGACUCUGGAGGUGGAGCCUUGCCCGGCGAGACGUUGAGGAGGAAUCAUUAUAGAUUCUAAAAAUAUAUUUUCCCUUCUCUGUGGACUUGGUAUAAAACGUAGCUUUUUUUCUGCUUGGAUUUAUUUUCUAAAAAUCAACACCGUAAACCCAUAUCAGAUACAACAAAAUUGGGGUAGUUAAAACCAUGAGUUGUGGAAAUGAGUUUGUGGAAACAU
rnacentral:lncRNA from 1 species